AAAAGCACUUUGAAAAGAGAGUGCAAGAGAACGUGAAACCGUUAUAGUGGAAGCGGAUAGAGGCGACGUAUCCAGUGCGUAUUCAGCCAUCUCGUGAGGCAUUAUUUGUGUUUGAAGUUCUGUAAAGUCUUCGGCGCUUAUUUUUGUCUUACGAAGUGGUGCAUUUGCGUACAGAGUGCGCCGAAUCGGUUGAGUUCGCUGUUUGAGACGUGAAUAGAGGACCGAAUUCGUUCGGAAACCUUUUCACGCGGAUGACAGUCGAGUUUGAUUGUAAAAUUGAAGUUGUAUGUGGUCGUUGUCGAGAGUUGGAGUUGUUUUUGUACGACGCGUGCGUUUUGCAUUAACAGUUUGGAUUUUUGGCGGCGAUUGCCCGACUUUAAAUUCGGUGUUUAGUCGCUCACCUAUUUGACCCGUCUUGAAACACGGACCAAGGAGUUUAAGGUGUACGCAAGUCAUUGAUUGUCGAAAGUCAAAGGCGUAAUGAAAGUGGGACACUCGGUGUCUGUGGUGUGAACUUUUUGAGUUUCGACUCUUUGAGUGCAACAUCGACCCAUGAUUAGGAUUUAUUCUGUUGUGGAGUCUGAGCGUACGCUUUGAGACCCGAAAGAUGGUGAACUAUGCCCGAACAGGACGAAGUCAGAGGAAACUCUGAUGGAAGUCCGAAGCGGUUCUGACGUGCAAAUCGAUCGUCUGAUUUGGGUAUAGGGGCGCAAGACUAAUCGAACCAUC
rnacentral:rRNA from 1 species